UCUCUCUCUCUCUCUCUUUAAUGCUGAAAACACUUCUUUUGGCUGUGCCCAGCCAUUUGUUUGUGCUUUCUUUUUAUUAGCUUCCUCUGCAUGGCUGCCUUUGCGCUUUAUAUCACAAUGUCAUAUUAUCAAGGCUCCAGAAUGAAUGUGAACUUCCCGUUGUUUCUGAGCACGACUUUCUCGGUGACAGUUCCGGCAAUUUACUUCCCACUGAAGAAACCAGGAAGGCCCUGCCCUCUGGGACAUCGAGGAGCAGAAGGGCACACAGCAGAAUCCCACGCAUCCCCCUGCGGCAGAGGUAGAUUGCAGGAGAACGUUGCUUACUUUGAUGUAUGAAAGCAGCAUGAGCCGAAACACCGAGCAACAGAUGAUCCAUUACCACAAACAAGAAACAAAUGUGCUAAAUUAAAAUAAAUUGAUACAGAUG
rnacentral:lncRNA from 1 species